CUUCCUGCCAUGUGGUGACAGAUUAAAAGCUGCUAUACACUUUGGAACUGGAAACUGAGCUCCCAAUGUAAAGGAGAUAAGCCAUAAUGCUUACAAUAUGUUGUGCAGAGCUCACUGGUAGGCAGUUUUUCUUAACAAUGCAUCAGGACUUUUGUUAUUUGUAAAGGAAGCUUAAAGGAAGCUGAGAGUGCUGAGGGCACAUCUGAAACCACUGGAGUUUGGCGACGUGGAGGUCAGGACGGAUGCGUGGCCAGCCUCAGGUUGCUAAACGUUAGGGUGAUCUGCCUUCCUUCUGGGGCGGUGAUUCUCCACUCGUAGAUCUGGCCAUGAGGAUUUAGGUUCGGGUAGUUGGGAGAAGUAGAUGUUCCAGCAGAGCCCUGAAGAUCCCCACCACACUCUGAUGUGGGGGAAGAAAGCCAAGAAAACUUCCAAUCAAAUCAAAAUGUCUCCUUCCAUCAGGAAAGCUCUCAAAAUUCAGGUGUCCUGCGUGUACAAAGAAAAUAAUAAAAAACAAGAGCUUGCCCAUGAAGAAAUGUUAAUCUCUCUCAGGAAAACAGGAAAACAUGAAUGAAAAUUAACAUAUUCAAAUAUAUGAAGAAGUGAAAAAAAUGCAACCAGUUAGGGGAAGGAUAUCUCAGGAUAAUGAGGAAGGCCAGUUUUUUGGUUGAAAAAGUGGUCUGAGACAACAGAGUGACAAAUAUCUGCCUUAUGCUACUGCCAGGAGACAUGCAUGACCCUCUGUCUGCCUCAAGCUAUAGAACACCCCUCAAAUAACGGCAUGUGGCAAUGGGAUGUCUCAGCAGCAACAGGUUGCCUUCCCACUACCAUUGCUCUCCCCAGGUGGCCUCCAGGGUAGGCUAUAUGACACCUGGGCUCUGGACAUCCAUUGUUAAUGGUAGAAUUGAGGUAGAGAAUCGCUGGUACUGCCCAAAGCCCAUUAAUCUGCACUUCUUUGCAGAGUAUAGACAUGCUUUGCCUUUCUUGGAAGUGAAGAAACUUCAGAGGCUGAAUAAGUACAUGCGAAAAUAAACACCCCGAAGAGAGCAGAUAUAUUUCACUAACCAGAAGUAUGAUAGUCCCAGGUCUCCACAAAGUCUUUUUCACAGCCAGAGGAAUUCUGAAGGUUAAAAUCUUCAAAAGAGAUGGUCAGGUAGUGUCUGGAGAGCCCCUGGAGAUGCCAAUCACAGAAUAAGUUGUCUCUAUAUGGAAGCAUUAGAUGGCCAAUGCUUUCAACAACACCACUUUGCCCUGUUACUCUUCCCCCACACUGAGCUGAAAAAAAAAAAGAAAGAAAGAAAGAAAAGAAAGAAAGGAUUCUAUUACAAAUUGUGUUUUUUUCAUUUCACCAGCACAUGUGAAAACUUUUAGGUGCCAAGUGACUAUGAAUUGAAGUUUUUAAAAUUCUGAAAAUGCUUAGUGCUUUCCUCAUUAUUUGAAUUCUAGGGUUGAUGUAAACAGAAGUGAUACCACAAGUCCAAUCCAAUAAUGGGAAACAAGAUGACGACCAAAUGGCACAUUCUGUAAUCUCACAUUAAUUCUUUUGGGACACUAUGUAAGAGCUAUCAGUUGCAAGCAAGUUUCAUCUCAAGAACAAACUGGUAGACUCAUCUGACCUGCCUAGAACCUUGUGUUGAUUCUAAAGACUGAACCCAAGCUCACCUGGAAGGGGGGACACCUGCUAUAUCUAGUUUUACUAUCAACUAAACUGUUCACUACUGUAGCUGAUAUCUCAGGGCCUUGAAAAUUACUAUUCAAUUAUGUCUUAUUAGCUGGAUGUGGUAGCUAAUUGAAUUAUAUGCAGCUUGACCCGGGAUAUAACAUGAUCUAUGGUGUAGUUAAAUACUGUUACAACUAGCCUUUCUGAACUUUUGCUAUAUUAAAUAUUUGUUUGGUUUGUGUCUAGACCUAUUAGAUACUAAAUUGUGUGCUAUUGUGACCAUACUAUAGUGAAUCUUCAACAAGCAAAGUUACUGCUCAAUUUUUAAGUAAGGAAAUCAAAAUCCUGAAGAGACAUACUUGCUUUUUAUCCAGUGACUGAUUUGGCACUAGAGACUCAGAGAAAAAAAAAAGCUUAAUCAUUUUAUAUAUGAUGAGGAAUUCAAAGACAUUGUUCUAAAUAUAGUUAUCUGGUUCUUAAAUAGUUGUAUUACUUAAAGUAAUAAACAUACUGUAGUUCUUCCUUUUCCUUGGCGGAUACAUUCCAAGUCCCCCCAGUGAGUGCCUAAAACCUUGGAUAGUACCAAACCCUAUAUAGACAUAUAGACAAUUUUUUUCUACAUAUAUGUACCUAUGAUAAAGCUUACUUUAACAAUUAAACAUAGUAAGAGAUUAAUAAUAAAAUAGAACAAUCAUAACAGUAUACUGUAAGAAAAGUUAUGUAAAUGUGGUCUCUCAAAAUAUCUUGGUGUACUGUACUCACCUAUUUUUUGGGCCUCUGUUUACCAAGGGCGUUGAAACCAUGGAACAUGAAACCAUGGAUAAGAGAGAACUACUGAAUUUCAUAGUAAGCAGAAGAAACAGGAGUUUGAUUUAACUACACAUAUUUCUUCACAAAUAAGUUAGAAAAAAUAUAAAAUAUUCAAGUUUACUAAGAUUACAUUUUAAAAUAAAAAUUAAAAGAGAAAUUAAAGUUGAUGACUAUGGUUUUAAACAUUUACACUCCUUACUUGUUUAUAGCAUUAAAAUAUUUUUAAAAUUAUGCAGAUAGAAUGACUUCUUUUUAAAAAGUCAUGGUUUUAAAAAAAGUUUUAACAUAUUCAUCCUGUAAUAACUCUUUUAUUUAAUAUAAAAAUGUUUUCCAGGGUUUUUAUAGUUUUGUGUUUUACAGUUAAGUCUUCAAUCUAUCUUGAAUUGAUUUUUGUAUAUGGUAUAAGGAAGGGGUCCAGUUUCAAUCUUCCACAUAUUGCUAGCCAGUUCUCCCAGCAUCAUUUAUUGGAUAGGGAGUCUUUUCCCCAUUGCUUGCUUUUGUCAGCUUUGUUGAAGAUCAGAUGCCUGUAAGUGUGAGGCCCUAUUUCUAAGCUCUCUAUUCCAUUUUAUUGGUCUAUGUGUCUAUUUUUGUACCAGUACCAUGCUGUUUUGGUUACUGUACCCCUGUAGUAUAGUUUCAAGUCAGGUAUUGUGAUGCCUCCAGCUUUGUUCUUUUAGUUUAGGAUUGCCUUGGUUAUUUGGGUUCUUUCUGGGGUCCAUAUGAGUUUUAAAAUAGUUUUUUCUAGUACUGUGAAGAAUGUCAUGGUAGUUUGAUAGGAAUAGCAUUGAAUAUGUAAAUUUGGGGAAGCAGUAUGACCACUUUAAUAAUACUGAUUCUUCCUAUCUAUGAGCAUGGAAUUUUUUUUCAUUUGAUAGGGUGGAGGGUGGGAGAAGGGAGAGGGGCAGAAAAAAUAGCUAUUAGAUACUAGGCUUAGUAACUGGGUGAUGAAAUAAUCUUUAUAAUGACCCCCAUGUCACGAGUUUACCUAUAUAACAAACCUGCACAUGAAACCCUGAACCUAAAAUAAAAGUUAAAAAAUA